CCUAGGUAUUACGUCAUCGCCAGGUGCAUGAUGGGCGUUGCUAGCAUGCUAAUCGUUAUGCUAAACGCCGAAGAGCUCGUGGAGGGCGGAUUCCUCGUUCUCUAAGGAACUUUUACCGUCAUUAAAUUGUUUGUGCUGGUUAUACUGGCAGAGAAAGGUGGUGACGUCGUGGAACGAGAGCUAACGUUAACGAACAGAGAGGCUGGAGCAGAUUUCGGAGGACAUGGCGGCGCACGAGACUCCUGCAGCCAGGUGGAGGAGGCAGCUGGUCCUGAGGGGGGUAAAGGCGGAGCUGCUGUUGUCUGGAGUAGGAGCCUGAGUCGUCGCGGUCUGAGUCCACCUGGAUGCUGACCUGGGGCACGGGUGGGCGUUGUGGCGGCAGCGGAGGUGGCAGGUGUGACGGAUCGUCCCCGGGGGCGAGGCUGGAGGUCUGGGAGUGGGCAGAGACACUGUUCACAUGGAUGGCAGGUUGGAGUGACGAAGAUGAUGACACAUUCUGCAGUGACGGUGUCGUUGUCCCAGCCAGUGUUUGCUGUCGUGCAGUUUCGGCGCACAGUACCUGCGGUCUAAGUCGUUCUGAUCGGAGUUGACUGUCGAGAUGUCGUCCAGCCAGGCCAAGUCGUGUUGUGAGAACAUCAGAUCCAGCAGCUUCCUCACGACCAUCAGACCCAGAAUCUACAGACACGGGACGGAGGAUAAAGGGACACAUAGUUUCUGAUCCGUUUUCUGUCAAUG